CAUGCGCAGUAAAUCUGUUUCUAGUACAGAAACAAUCCUCUGCACUGCCUCGGCGCACCUUCUAGCACAACAGGGAAAGCACUUAUGUUUGGAGGUAGCGUGGGACCGGAAGAAGGACCUUCGAAAUUUGGCCUCCAGAACACCAAUAGGCAGCUUGGGACUGGAAGAAGGACCUUCGAAAUUUGGCCUCAGAGAACACCAAUAGGCAGCUUGGGACUGGAAGAAGGACCUUCGAAAUUUGGCCUCAGAGAACACCAAUAGG